CCUACGGGAGGCAGCAGUGGGGAAUAUUGGGCAAUGGGCGCAAGCCUGACCCAGCAACGCCGCGUGAAGGAAGAAGGCCCUCGGGUUGUAAACUUCUUUUAUCAGGGACGAAACAAAUGACGGUACCUGAUGAAUAAGCCUCGGCUAACUACGUGCCAGCAGCCGCGGUAAUACGUAGGUGGCAAGCGUUAUCCGGAUUUAUUGGGGGUAAAGGGCGUGUAGGCGGGAGAGCAAGUCAGACGUGAAAUUCCAGGGCUCAACCCUGGAACUGCGUUUGAAACUGUUCUUCUUGAGUGAUGGAGAGGCAGGCGGAAUUCCGUGUGGAGCGGUGAAAUGCGUAGAUAUACGGAGGAACACCAGUGGCGAAGGCGGCCUGCUGGACAUUAACUGACGCUGAGGCGCGAAAGCGUGGGGAGCAAACAGGAUUAGAUACCCGAGUAGUC
rnacentral:rRNA from 1 species